UGCAAGUCGCACGGGAUCAUUUUUGUAGUAAUACUGGAAUGAUUUAGUGGCGCACGGGUGAGUAACACGUGAAUGACAUGCCCUUCAGAGGGGGAUAGCCCAGGGAAACUUGGAUUAAUACCCCAUGGUCUCGCAAGAGUAAAGGUGGCGCAAGCUGCCGCUGAGGGAUUGGUUCGCGCCCUAUCAGCUAGUUGGUGAGGUAACGGCUCACCAAGGCGAUAACGGGUACUUGGUCUGAGAGGACGAUCAGGCACACUGGAACUGAGACACGGUCCAGACACCUACGGGUGGCAGCAGUCGAGAAUAAUUCACAAUGGGGGCAACCCUGAUGGUGCAACGCCGCGUGGAGGAUGAAGGUCUUCGGAUUGUAAACUCCUGUCAUCCGGGAGAAAGACCUGGCUGUGAAUAGCAGACAGGGUUGAUAGUACCGGAAGAGGAAGGGACGGCUAACUUCGUGCCAGCAGCCGCGGUAAUACGAAGGUCCCGAGCGUUGUUCGGAAUCACUGGGCGUAAAGGGAGCGUAGGCGGUUUGGUAAGUCAGAUGUGAAAUCCCGGGGCUCAACCCCGGAACUGCAUCCGAUACUGCCAGACUUGAGCAAUGGAGAGGUAGCUGGAAUUA
rnacentral:rRNA from 1 species